UACGAAGGGUGCUAGCGUUACUCGGAUUUAUUGGGUGUAAAGCAUGCGUAGGCGGGCUUGUAAGUUGGUUGUGAAAUCCCUGGGCUCAACCUAGGAACUGCAAUCAAUACUGCUUGCCUUGAAUUCGGUAGUGAGUAGGGGAAUUCCUGGUGUAGGGGUAAAAUCCGUAGAUAUCAGGAGGAAGACCGGAAGCGAAGGCGCUUACUUAGGCCGAUAUUGACGCUGAGGCAUGAAAGCGUGGGGAUCAAACAGG
rnacentral:rRNA from 1 species